GAUGAACGCUAGCGGCAGGCUUAAUACAUGCAAGUCGAGGGGCAGCAUGAGUAGCAAUACUUGAUGGCGACCGGCAAACGGGAGCGGAACACGUACACAACCUUCCUUUAAGCGGGGAAUAGCCCAGGGAAACUUGGAUUAAUACCCCAUAAAAUAUUGAAGAGGCAUCUCUUUAUUAUUAAAGAUUUAUCACUUAAAGAUGGGUGUGCGGCUGAUUAGAUAGUUGGCAGGGUAACGGCCUACCAAGUCUACGAUCAGUAGCUAAUGUGAGAGCAUGAUCAGCCACACGGGCACUGAGACACGGGCCCGACUCCUACGGGAGGCAGCAGUAAGGAAUAUUGGUCAAUGGACGAAAGUCUGAACCAGCCAUGCCGCGUGAAGGAUGAAGGUCCUCUGGAUUGUAAACUUCUUUUAUAUGGGACGAAAAUGGAUCUUUCUAGAUCAACUGGCGGUACCAUUUGAAUAAGCACCGGCUAACUCCGUGCCAGCAGCCGCCGUAAAAC
rnacentral:rRNA from 1 species